AUAUGCUCAAAUUUUAAUUGUGGAGAAACAUAAAUGCAGUCCAAUUAAUAUUUAGGUAAAAUGGCCCAAUGGCAAUCGAAGUAACUACAGAUAUGGAUACGAAAGCAAGCAUGAUGUGCAGCUGUGUGAUCCAUUUGAGCCGCUUCUUCACCAAGUCCCCUCUCAGCAUCAGUUGAAAAAAUCUAAACUUGUUGAAGAAGAAACAAAUGAAACUAAUUGGGAUUAUAAUUGGAUGCCUACUUCGCCGAAAGAUGGGUUAAACCAUUCAGAACCAGAAUGCAGUUCUAAAAAUGAAAUUAAGGGAUCGAGAAGAUAUGAGAGUCGUGAAAAAGGUUUAAAAGGACACACCCCUAAUAGACGAUGGCAGUGGAAAGAUUCUUCUGGAAAAUGGAACGAAUACAGUGAUGAAAUAAACGAUAAAAUAGAAGACUGUUACAGAAGAAAACCUGAAUCAUCGGUUGUCAUUGACUUUAAUGGACGUUUGUAAGUAGUUCUUACUGCUGAAUACGUCUAAAGAAAUAAAACAUAAGAAAUACAUUUAAAUUGAACGAUUUUGUUUAUAUCCUGAAACGUAUUUUAACUACAGCAUGUUUUAUUAUCUUUUUUGCUUAACCAACAAUGUAAACACGUCGUAUUUCUUUAUUUUCAUAGAUGCAGGGUUAUAUUU